CGUGCUACUUUUACAGAUCUCCUCUUUAAGUCGGCCUCACUGCAUCAUUUUUAUGGGAUGGGGCAGGGAUUGCUGCAGGGAAAGGCUGGGGAUGAAGAAAAGCUGGGCCCUGGUCCUGUGCAUGUAUUCACGUGCCCACAGAGCAGAGUCAGGCAGGCAUCAUAAAAACGUCCCCACUAAUCAUUUCAGCACAGCACCGGAGCAGACAGGAGGAUGGCUUCAUGUGCACGUAAGCAAACACACACACACACACACACCCGACAACAGGUGAUAAUGAAUGACAGCAAAGGACAGGAUAAAAAGAAAGAGUCAGAGAGUAAAGAGUGGCGAAGAUAAACGCAUUCAACGGCUCGCGUUUUGAUCUGAGAGUCUGAGAGGUGAAGUCAUGUGACAGCGUCACUCAUCGCCAAAGCGGUAGGAAUAAGAAGAUGGUUUGUUUCCAUAAGAUAAUCAGAGAUAUGAAGACGGCAGAGAUAAAUGGAGUAGUGAGCGGCUGUCAUCUCAAGAGGAAUCUUGCUUCUAAUUUCCCAUGGAAUCACAAACAGCUGUUAUUUCAACUAGACGAAAUCACUGUCACAUGGCUGCGGGGGCUCUGCAGCGACUGUUGACUGUCACUCCCCGAUGGGCAUUUUUUUCAACACUGAUCUCAUCCAGGUCGUCUAAUGUUUUUGUCACCUGGUGAGACAGCAUAGGUAAAAAAAAAAACAUCGUAAAAACUGGGGAAAAUCAACAUUUAUUACUUUAAUAAACAACAACUUGAGCUCAAACGGACACAGAGUCCUGCUAAUAAAGUCGGGAUCUGUUUUGUCAUCCUUCUCUACCUUUUUUUUUUCCUCAUUUCCUUCCCGGCCCAGGAUGUAUGGGCCUCAUCUCUCUCCUGUUUUCCCAGGAUCCCACACUCCUGCCAUGUGUUGUUACUUAUCACAAACAUAUGGUUUAAUUUCUGCAGACGGCAAGCAGACAUGACAGCAAACACAGACAAACAGCUGCAUACUGUAGAUUUUUCUCCUAAACUUUCACUCCUCUGAUGAUUUCACAACAAAAUUGUAACCUUAAACUGGUGUUUAAUGGUUUGUGUGGGUUCCUGUGUGUAAAUACACACUCCAUUCAUACAUUUACUUUUUUAGUUCAGAAUACUUCUUUCACCUAACUUUCCUCUCAGCUUUUUUGACUGGAAUGUUUCUGAUCUGAGUCAAAGAGAGAAUAAUGUCACAUUGACAUAAUUAUUAGAUUUUUUAUAUCUGAAUGGGAGAAAGUCACACACACACACACACGUCUGUAAGAGCUGAUAAUGCAUUAUCAGAGCAAACACUAAGCCUGAUGAGGUCAAAGAAAAUGCCUGCCGUCGCUCUAGAGAUUAUGAGAGGAGAUGGGAUAACCUUGCUGAAGGACAGUCAUCACAGCAGAAAUCGAACAAUCCUGGGCUUUACGGCAGAGCAGUGAAAGUCACAAGGAAUCCCAUCCAUUAUUGUGGGAGCUACUUGCAUUCUUUGCCGUGGAGCUCUAAAAAUCACUGCUGUUGCUCACUGGCUUCCUAUUGUGUGGGAUUUGCUCGCUGCGCUGAUCACAAGGUAAGAGACAAAUCAUCAGGUGAGUCAGAGGGGCAGCAUUCCUUCAGCAACAGCUCCGUGGCGAGUCGGAGCGUUACCACACAGUCGGCUCCACAGACAUGUACACACACAUGCAUAUGCACACACACACACUGCAGGUGUGCCAUAAAUUAAGUGCAUGAGUAACUGUCUAGGAGAAGGAGAGGGUAAAAAAAAAAAAAAAA